GCCUGACACCGCUGAAGAAGACCUGGUGUUCGGACAGCGCUUUCCCUUUCCCACUCGGCUCGGAGCCAAGCGCCACCUCUCCUCGCUCAUCCGAGAACUUUGAACCCCGCCCUGAACGCAAGGUGAUCGGCGCAGAGACAAGAGGGCAAAGCAGUUGUGCGCAUUCUCGAUUUUAUUUCAUUGUUGACCCGGCCGCGGCGCGAGAGCCGCGCGCCCUCCUUUGAGGGGAAGCCGAAGGCAGGAACUCGAGGACUUGAGAAGGUGUCUGAAGUAUAUGGAGGCUACCAGGGCAACCACCACAGGGCCACCCCCAAUGACUCUCCUUACCAGGGCAUGGGCAUGGGCAUGGACAUGGGCAUCGGUCCCGCCGUAGCUGGACAACAGUUACAUUGUCCACCUGCUCCGUGCUGUUCCUGAAUCUCUGAGGAGUUUCCCUUGCUCUCCCCUGUGUGUGGAAAUGCUGAGAAAGCCUCUCCCAGGUCUCCCCUUGACGACUUGGGAUCCUCUCAGAUGCUGUCUGUAACUGAAGUGGUCCUCAUCACGGCAGAAGGGGAGGCAGAAAUAUGGUCUAUAAAAGCCUGCGAUGGGGGAGGAGACUCAGCAGCUGUAGCUGCCUGCAUCAGAACUGCACAAGCUCAUGCCGAUCAGCCUUCCAGCAUGGAGGGUAGAGGCUUACACGCACCCACCUCUACCUGGGGAGUUAUGGAUAGCUGGUGACUUCUGGAGGAGGGAGAAUCCCUUUUCUUUAAGGGUGUCAACUGUGGAUGGCCCCAGGCUCCUUAUGCUCAACCCAAAUUGAGUCCGUGGAGUAUCAAAACGAAACAAGGCAAACUCCCAAGAAGUUGGCAGGGAGGAGAGGGUGUUGUCUAAGUAUGGAGUCUCUUAUGCUUUCAAUAAACAUAGGAUAUAUUUAAAAGCCAGGUGUGAUGGCUCGGGUCUCUAAGGCCAGACGUUCAUGGGGUCAGCUAGGCAGGAGUACACGCGCUGCAGAAACAAGAGAGCCUGUCUCACUUUGUAGAAGAGGAGACAGGGUGACUCAUGAGUGGCCCAGACCUAUAUGCUGACCUGACUGGAGUUUGCAGGCACACACACAAACACUAAUAAAGUUAAAAAUUGAAGAAACUGAUUCCAUAAAUAAAAAUAGCACAGAAUAUGUGGUAAAAUGAAUUAAAAUUUUUUGUGUAGAGAAUAUUUCAACAGUGAUGUUAUUGCCUUUUAUGUAAGAAAGUAAUUUUUUUGAACGUUUAUUCUAAAACUUUAAGGGACUAGAAACACAGCUCAAUGGUAGAGGGCUUGUCCAGCAGGCAGGAGACCUCUAAAUUUAAUCUUCAACACCCUCAAAAAUCGCAAAUAUUUUUAGAAUGUAUCCAGUGUCUUAAUGCUGCUUGGCUCCUGAGAUCUACCCUCUCAGUGACAGCCUUAGGUAGCUGAAUGCCUGUGGUUGAAGGAAAAAUUUGUGAACUGGUGCAGGCUCCAGUUAACUCACCUGCAAAACCCCCUUGCUGUGCAAAGCUGGCAACCCAAGUUCAGGUCCCUGCACCUUACAGACAGCAGCAGCUCCUGACCGGUCAUUAUGGCCUAUGUAUGUGUGCUGAUACACACUUGCGCCCCCAAGCACUAAGAAUCCAAAAAUUAAAUCCUCAGAGUGAGGGACAGGAGAGCCACUCAGUAGUUAAGAGCACUUGUUGCUCUCGCAGAGGACCCUAAUUUAGAUCCUAGCACUCAUGUAGAAGUUUACAACAUUGUGUAACUCCAGUUCCAGAGGAUCUGAUAGCCUCUUCUGGCCUCUGCAGGCACCAAUACGCACAGGUUCACAUGCAGGCAAGCACUAAGACAUAAGAAAUUUA